AGUCCCUUUAAUCUGUUCCCUCCUGUCUUCACCUUACUCUCCUCCUGCAAUCGAGCUCUGAUGAGUUGCUGCCUUCUUUUGUUCUUCGAUCAACUUCUUCACUGAAUCCAAGCAGGACUAAAGUAAUGCACAUUAGCAGCAGCUAGGAUGUCGGAUUUCUUCAGAAUGGUUUUUGCAGUGGUUGUCUGGUGCAUUGCUUAUGCUGCAGCUGCAAUUGUCCUUUCUGUUAGAUUCUUUAGUUUUACAUAAACAUCCAUCGUGAACUAGCAAACUUCAUGACCUUCCAUGGGCUUACUGCAGUUUAUGACUCAUUCCAGAUACUCAUGUGGUGCACAUUGAUGAUUGCAUUCGAUGGUGAAAAUUCACAUUAAGCUUUGAUGAUGAUGAUAACUAGCAACUCAAGUUUGAGCUUAUUUACAUGUGGUGUUUUCAUGGCCCUGAUUAGGAUUAAUGUUGGAGUUAGGAACAAGGGCACGUUCUGAUAUCGAUUGGCAACCAGGCAUUCAUACCAAUUUGGGAAAUCUUGA